ensembl:lincRNA
AGCCUCCUAGCCGCCUCCACCACAAGCGGACGACUCUUGCUAGGUCGGCCUCUACCCCAGCCUCGCUCUCGGCGUCGUGACGUCACCUCUGUGACGUCAUCAUAUGAGGCGGACCCGCCGGCCCAAGGGGUGGGGCGCCGCGGCGGCGGGUGCUUUCGCGGAGUGUUCUGGGAGAUGUAGUUCCUCUUCCUUCUGUCAUCUCUCAGCACUCUGUCCCCCUCCGCCAACUUCCCCACACUAUCGCUCAACUGCCAGUGUCGUUACCAUAGUCAUAAACGAUGGUAGUAAAUAAUGGCAACAUUGACACCUUCAUGUGUUUUAUGAACCUCUUCACAUACAGUUAAAAAACCUGAGAUUGCAGGAAGCCAAUGUGGCCAUUACACAGGUGCCAAAAAUCUGGAAACUCCCACCCCAGUAGGUUCCCUGCACUCUUGAUCCUUCCUCAGAUGGAGAGAAUUUGUUUUCAGAUGCUAUACACCCGGGCUCAUCAUUCUUACACGACCACUAACUACUUCAAGGACUAGAGCUGAGGCAGCAAGGGGCUCCGGACAUUCAAAGGUCAAUAAUUGACUCUCCGAUGACGUGGGCCUGGGAGUGUCUGUUUAUGUGUGUGUGCUCCCAAGACAGCACUGGAAUGAGCGAUUCUUCCUUAUCAGGGCAGGGCCAAGCUCAACCCAUGGGGCCUCUGAUCUCAGAAGCCACUUCUCCAAGGCAAGACAAGAAGCAUGGAAAGAACAUAAUGCUUCAAGCAACACUUGAAGAGGGAGUAAGAUGAAACCAAUCAUUUGGAUCAUAUGGUGGAAUGAGAAGAGCUCAGCCCAGAAACUGCUGUCUCUGAGCCUUCAUCUCUGUCUGGCUGAAAAGAAAACUGCGGCUCAGAGUUUAGUCCCUCACCAAGCUCAGAAUGAAGAAAUGGUGGACAAUCUGAACUCCUGCCUCACCUGCGAACUUACAUCAAAUGAAGACCCACAUGCAGAGGACUGUUCUCCAUAGCACCUCCCCUCCCAGGAACCUUGACCUCUGGCCUGGCAAGUCAGAACUUUUUUUGAUGGGCAGAGGUGAGACAUGCAUAGGAAGGAGUCUGUCGGGGGCAAAGAUCCAGCUAGAGCCAUCACCGCAAAUCCAGCACCCAUGAUAGCAUAAAAGAGCUCUUCUCAAACACACCUUGUGAUAGGUAAUUAACUGUUGUGCUAACCCAAGAAAUAAAUGCCCAGCUGACUGGGUCAGCAUGGCUCUGAGUGUGGCCAAAUGGACUUACUGAAGGCAGAAUCUACUGGCACCAACCGAUAGGCUUAUAGCCUGGAUGGGAUAAAAAGGCAAAAAAGAGGAAGUCUCACUUCGGUUUCUUUGGAGGAGCUCCAGUGUUUUCUUCACCUUGGCACAUCCAUCUCCUGGCUUCCAAUGCAGGCCCUUCAGCCUCUCAGCUCAGACUCUUCAGCCUUCCAAUGCAGACCCUUCAGCUUCCAGCAGGACUCUGCAGUGUGUCAGGUCUUCCACCUUUGCAGCUGGAUCCUCCAGCUCUCCAGUGCACAGACAGCCCAUAUGCACUCUUCCACACCUGACUCUGCAGGCAGCCAUUGUAAGUUUACCUUCAGGGAAUGAGCCAAAGACAGGAGUGGUGGCCCCAGAAAAGGGACAGAGGCAGGCCUGGGGAAAAGGUGCUAUUUCUUGGCAAAGGAGGUCCUACGGGAUUGUUCUAGUUGAUCCUAGAGCCUCGUAGGGGAUCACAAACUGCCCUUGCCUGCACCUAGUUAUUACACUCCACAAAGGCAGCGUUGAUAUUGUGCUGCCUAGGCACUGGGCUGACUGCCUUGAAGCCAGCGAAUUGGUUGAAAAGCAUAGAGAACACAGGAGGGACUGGGGAUUUAGCUCAGCGGUUCCACUGCCUGCUUCACAAGUGCAAGGUCCCGAGUUUGAUCUCCAGUACCCCCACCUCCCCAAAAUUACAUAAACUCAUACAGAACAUGACUUGUUGGUCUCCUCUGGCAGGUUGGUGAGGAACAAGAUGUGAUUUGGUGGAGUCUCCAAGAAAGACUGCUUGCUUAGCAGGUGUGAGGCUCUGGGUUCAAUUCCAAGUACCAAAAAAACUCCAAAACAAAACCUUAAAAAUGAGUUUGAGGGCCAGGGAUUUAGCUCAGUAGUUCUGGCACCUGCCUCUCAAGCACAAGGGCCUGAGUUCGAUCCCCAGUACAAAAAAAAAAAAGUUCGAGACCAGCCUGGGCUGAGUUCAAAGCCAUGAAGUCUCAUAGCAAGACCUCAUCUCAAAAAAAAAAAAAAAAAAAAAAAAAGAGAGAGAGAGGGAAAGAUUGGGCAGGUCAUGUGGCAUCCACCCCAUCACAAAUUGCUGUGGGGGCAUGACCCAAGGGAAGAUACGGCUUGUGAGAGGCCUGGAGGUGGGAUCAUGCCAGGGAGCGGCAUGUAGGGCAGCUGGCCUGACACGUAGUGAAUGAUGUGGGAUGCUUGAAUCAUUGGUGGCAUGCCCAGGAUAGGGCCCUGGACAGUUCCCACCACAGGAGCAGCCGUCUCACCCUUCACAGCCUUCUUGGCAGAUGGCAUCUCUUAGGACUUAUGUUUAUAUGUAAAUGACAAAACCUCAUGUGCUCACAGAUGGGGCCUUUUGGAGGUGGCUCGAUCUAGGAUGUGUGAUAACUACACUGGUUUAGUAUAGUUCUAGAUGUGAUAAUGCAAGGCCCACCCUGACUGUGAAUGGCACCAACCGAUAAACUUAUAGCCUACAUGGAAUAUGAAGGGAAAGAGGGAAGGCAGGUUGCUGCUGUUGCUGCUUUUUGCCUACCCUGCCAUGGACUGUUUCUCCUCUGUCAUGCCCCUCUGCCAUGUGGUCUUGCCUUUGAACAGCCAACUAUGGACUAAAAUCUCUACAAACUGUUAGCCAAAAUAAACCUUUUUUCCUUUAACACUGUCUUUUUUUUUUUUUCCUUUAACUUUGAGCGUUGACUAUUUUGUCUCAGCAACUAGAGAAGUAAGUAAGACAGCAUCUCUUGGCUCUUGGCUUCUUCUUCUCCGGCUUGUGGUCCCACUCUACAGAGGCAUUUUUCAUUGUGGCGCUGAUAUCUGAGUUGGUCUUGGCACAUGGGCUUGUCAUGGAGGGAGUGCAGGGCAUUGGUGGGGCUACUGACUUCCUUGAAGGUGACAAAGUCCUGGCCCCUCAACUUCAGGCUCUGUGACACCAGGAUAUCCAGGAUCUGGCCAAACUGGGAGAAGUGGUGUACAAGGACUUCUUCAGCUUAUCUUUCUUGGUCUUCUCAUUGAGGUUAUUGAUAUAAACAGUGUGAUUGAGGCCAAUCUCAGGAACUACCACAAUAGGGCAACAGGGCCACAGGUCCCACAAGUAGCUCCUGCCAGUUUCUUCAGACUCCAACUCUUCCUUUUGCUCAGGCUUUUUUUUUUUUUUUUUUUUUUUUUUUU